AGACACCUCACCAGCCCUGGAGAGUGGCUUAAACUGUGAGAUCCUGACAAAGUGAUCCUCAGGACUGGCUCUCUAAAUCUGCCAAACUGAAGGACCAGUUUGGAUUAACUCUCAAAAUUAACACGCCAACAAUCAGAUUGCUUACCUGUCCAAGAUGAAUGUCAAACCUGAGGGCUCUAAUGUGUUAGCAACAGGGAAAUUUAUAAGCCCAUGUUUUUGCCAUGGCAUGCUGUCACUGUGGAAAUUGCUGCCAUUCCAUAUACCUGAAGAUUAUGGCUCUGGAUAAAGAGGAAAUAGACUGCCAAGCAAACAGAACUUUUUGUGCUGGAAACAGAUGAGGGCAACGGGAGCUGAGGAUGCAGAAUCUAAUUUGUGGUGGGAAUUUUCCCAGAACUGGAAAGGCAGGAACUCAGGAUAUGGUCUCCAGGUCUGUUCCUGACCCAGUCCUAAGGAUGAUGGAUAUGGCAGGCCAUGCCACAGCCAUCCAUUGUCUACAAGUUUAUUUAGAGGGGGAAAAGGAAGUGAAACAGAUAUAAGUGAUAUCUGACAUUUUCCUUUGAAAAUGAAAAAUAUUUGAGAUUACUGAGAUGUGAUUUCUUACAUGAACUGCUGUUUUGUCUUCUGUAUUCUUCUUUUGUCUUUUUUUUCCCCACCUCCCUAGCUGAAAGUCUGUAGCAAUUCUGCCAGAAGAAAAACUUUGACAAAACUCACAGAAGUGUUCACAUCUGCAUGCAAAUGAAGGUGGUGAGAGUCAGUUGGCAUGGAAAUGAAGAAAACAUGUCAUCUGGAAUAAAUGCAAAUAUCUGUUUUAAAUGCCAACCUUAACUAUUUUGCUGCUGAUCAAAAAAUGAAAGAAAGCUGAGAUGCUCAAUGGACAAAGGAGGAAAAUUUGCAUUGGCUCUCAUCUUUGUGAAGCCAGUGAAAAAUACCUGAGUGGAUAGCUUCCCUGAGUUUUUAAUUAUGAUUGUUUAUGGAGAAUGGAAGAAGAGAAAGGAAAAAUACUAGAGAAGAAAGGUGUGUCCUUUGGACUGAAUAAUUAGUGAUUGACACCAAGAAUCUGAACACAGCAUCCAAGCUCAACAGAGAAGAUAAAACCUGACACUCCUAAAUUCUGCUAGGAGUUAAGGGUACAGAAAGCACACCUUUCUCCCAGCUGAGUUUGAAUACCAGAACUCAGAAACAAAAAUCACAUAUUUAGCUGCAGCAGCACUUUAAGUGGGUGGAUUGAAGGAAAAGAUGGACUUGAAUGAUAAAAACUCUUUUCCAAGCUGGGAAGAUAAAGUGUGUUGUGUUCCUUCUAAGAUAUUACCAUUGCCUUCAAGUUACCACUGCCUGGACCAGGCACUGGGGUAAAAAGUUUGGAGAUGAGAAGAUCUCAGCCAUGAUUCAUACUUUGUAGUACAGUGAAAGAAUUAAAAUAAUUAUGGUUUCUGAAAAAGAAAUAAGCUCAAUUAAUGCUUUGAAUGCCCUUAUUAAGCUUUGUUUUCAUGAUAUACCUCUCUAUAAUGGUUUUGGUUGUCUCCUGGGUCACUGUUUUCUUAAUUAAUCAUAGUUUAGUUGGUUUUUACUGUUGUUAUUAUUAUAACUGUGGUUGCAAAACUUUGAAAUAUGACACAGUGAAGACUAAUGAGCUAUUGUGAAUAAGGAAUGAAGGUUACUUGGUUUAAAUCAUAUUUGGAAGAGUGAGUUUGGUUCAUGAGCUGCUAUGACCUGGAUUUUCACUAGAUAGGGUUCAUUUUAAGGUAGCAUGAGAACAAAAUGUUUUCUUUAAUGCUGGCAAGAUACUUCUUUUAAUUUGCAAGAACCACCUCACUGCACUUUGAGGAAAACUUCCUUCAUUAUAUUUUUAUAUCAAGAUGUUUUUAUUUUUAAAAUUUAUAUAUAUAUAAUAACCAAGUGUGUUUAUGUGCAUUUAGAAGUUAAAAUGUAAUUUCUAUUGUGAAAAUUGGAUUUGUUAAAAACCAAAAAAGUUCCAGUAGGCCAUGAAAAAACAGUACCCAGUAAAGAGCAUCAAAUACACAUCAAGGACAAGUUCUUGGAUGAACUUUUUCUGUGCUGCUCGUUGAUCUCAUGUUGUGAAGCAGAGAACAGCUGAGUUUCCUGUAGUCCUAUGAGGUGUGAUGGCUAUUGGACCACAGCAUUUCCUUUAAUUACAGCUGGACACGUCAGUGCCUUGUGGUCAGUGUGACUUAAAAAGGAGAAAAUAGAAAUGCCAGGUCUUUGUGCAUAGUCUUUUGGGCUGUUGUAUGAAGAGAGAAUUAUUUAUGAGAACAUGCUGUGUCACUGAAGUUAUCAGAGGUCUUUGUUAGGAGUUGGGUUUGGUUUGUUUGCCUUUUUGGGUUUUAUUCCUUUUUUUUUCUAAAAUGCUGCCAGGAAAAGAGAUGUUCUGGUACAUGGAUAAUGAGGCAUUGCAUCAAAACUAUUUCUUAAGCAUAAGUAGUCACAAUGAAUAUUGCCAAGAGUGGUGAGUUAUCCGGAACACUUGAUUUUUAAAACAACACCUUUUCCCACACAUCCAUAGAGUUGUACUCAAGAAAAAUGCUGUGGUCCCACUUGUUUGUUUUACAAAAAACCCAGACUGCUGCCCUGAGUUUCAGAUUAGGAUUACUUCAGAUUAAGAUUUAGCAGCUUGCACAGGCUGCACUACAAAGCAUCUCCUUGACCAUAACCUUGCCGUGCCCACCCCAAAAACUGCACAGGCAAAACUGUGGUUCCCAUGGAGUGAUUCGUGCCAAAAAGAUAUUUUUAUGGGCUCAGAUCUGCAGGCUGAUGCGUGCCAGGAAGCACAGCCAGGGCUUUGCCUGUUUCCCACCUCGUCAGGUGUGGAAGAGGUUUUACAGGGACUCGUGUGAGCCAGGGGGAAGUUUGAUAAGAGGAUCCAUGUUUACCCCUGGAAGAAUUUCCUACCAGGUCAUUGACAUAGAAACCAAGAAAGAAAGAAGGAUAAAUAAGAGA